rnacentral:rRNA from 1 species
UACAGAGGGUGCGAGCGUUAAUCGGAAUUACUGGGCGUAAAGCGCACGUAGUCGGCUUUGCAAGUCGGUUGUGAAAUCCCCGGGCUCAACCUGGGAACUGCAUCCGAGACUGCAUUGCUAGAGUAUGGGAGAGGAAAGCGGAAUUUCUGGUGUAGCAGUGAAAUGCGUAGAUAUCAGAAGGAACAUCAGUGGCGAAGGCGGCUUUCUGGACCAAUACUGACGAUCAGGUGCGAAAGCGUGGGGAGCAAACAGGAUUAGAUACCCUGGUAGUCCACGCCCUAAACGAUGACAACUGGAUGUCGGGAGGGUUUGCCUUCCGGUGUCGUAGCUAACGCGUUAAGUUGUCCGCCUGGGAAGUACGGCCGCAAGGUUGAA